rnacentral:rRNA from 1 species
UACGAAGGGGGGCUAGCGUUGUUCGGAAUUACUGGGCGUAAAGCGCACGUAGGCGGAUCGAUCAGUCAGGGGUGAAAUCCCAGAGCUCAACUCUGGAACUGCCUUUGAUACUGGCGACCUAGAGUUCGGAAGAGGUUAGUGGAAUUCCCAGUGUAGAGGUGAAAUUCGUAGAUAUUGGGAAGAACACCAGUGGCGAAGGCGGCUAACUGGUCCGAUACUGACGCUGAGGCACGAAGCGAUGGGAG